GACGUAAAGAGAUAAGGACACAGCACACUACAUUAUAGGGCAUCAACACAGAUCUUAACAUGUGGAUAAUUAACCUUAUGAAUCCAAUGUUACUGGCUGUCUCAGAGAAGACAAAGCCACAUCAGUUCCUACCACUCCCAGCAGAAUCCCAUGAGACAACUACAGAAAACACACAGCAGAUAUGCAUGGCUACCGAGGUCAUCAGGAGCAGGCUUUGGGACUGACUGUUGAACAGCUGUGGUACACAAAAUCAGCCACAAUGACUUUCUCCACAUUGUUUUAGUUGACUAGCUUAAUUUGUUUGCUAUGUUAUGAGAAAACAA